UCCAACGCACAUACAAACGUGAGUGCGCUCAACCUCAUUGGAUAUCGGAAGCUAAGCAGGUUGAAAGCCUGGUUCGUUCUUGGAUGGGUGACCACUAGGGAUUUCCAGGUGUUGUAGGCU
rnacentral:rRNA from 1 species